GGCUCAGGAUGAACGCUAGCGGCAGGCUUAACACAUGCAAGUCGAGGGGCAGCAUGAGACGGAGAUUCGUCGAAGUCUUGAUGGCGACCGGCGCAAGGGUGCGUAACGCGUGAGCAACUUGCCCGUUUCAGGGGGAUAACCGGUGGAAACCUCGUCUAAUACCGCAUAUAUGGUUUUGAGGCAUCUCUUAAUCAGGAAAGAAUUAUCGGACAAGGAUGGGCAUGCGGGACAUUAGGUAGUUGGGGGUGUAACGGACCACCAAGCCGACGAUGUCUAGGGGUUCUGAGAGGAAGGUCCCCCACACUGGUACUGAGACACGGACCAGACUCCUACGGGAGGCAGCAGUGAGGAAUAUUGGUCAAUGGGCGAGAGCCUGAACCAGCCAAGUCGCGUGAGGGACGACGGUACUAAGUAUUGUAAACCUCUUUUGUCAGGGAACAAAGAGACCACGUGUGGUAAGAUGAGUGUACCUGAAGAAAAAGCAUCGGCUAACUCCGUG
rnacentral:rRNA from 1 species